GUGCUCACUUUGGAAGCACAUAUACUUAAAUUGGAAUGAUACAAAGAAGAUUAGCAUGGCCCCUGCUCAAGGAUGACAUGCAAAUUGGUGAAGCAUUUCAUGUUUUU